GAUGAAGAACGCAGCGAAAUGCGAUAAGUAAUGUGAAUUGCAGAAUUCCGUGAAUCAUCGAAUCUUUGAACGCACAUUGCGCCCGCCAGUAUUCUGGCGGGCAUGCCUGUCUGAGCGUCAUUUCAACCCUCAUGCCCCUAGGGCGUGGUGUUGGGGAUCGGCCAAAGCCCGCGAGGGACGGCCGGCCCCUAAAUCUAGUGGCGGACCCGUCGUGGCCUCCUCUGCGAAGUAGUGAUAUUCCGCAUCGGAGAGCGACGAGCCCCUGCCGUUAAACCCCCAACUUUCCAAGGUUGACCUCAGAUCAGGUAGGAAUACCCGCUGAACUUAAGCAUAUCAAUAAGCGGAGGA
rnacentral:misc_RNA from 1 species